AGCCGGGCGACGCGGCCAAUCAGCGGGGCGAGGGGGCGGCCUCGCCGCACAGCCUCCGGCCCCGAAGCUACUGCUAGCAAGAAGGGGGAGCGGGCCGGAGGGCCGGCGCGCCGGCGGGCAGGCGCGGGAGGCGGCACGGCGUCAAGUGCAGCUCGGACGCACGGAUUGGGCCCAUUUCCCUUUCAUCCUUUCUUCCAUCUGCACCCAGUUGUCUUCAGCAUGGGGGAGCAGAACCACUCUCCCGGGAAGGAGCUUCAGCACAGGACGCGAGCAGAGGCUCCAGGAAAGGAAAGCUGGCAUUCCCAGGCCUAUGCCCUUGGGGCUGUUUCCAACUUUAUGUCUACUUUUCUGACCUUUCCUAUCUAUAAGGUUGUGUUUCGGCAACAGAUCCAUGCCAUGGCAGUGUCAGAGGCUGUGAGACAGCUUUGGCAUGAAGGUCCUCAAUACUUCUACCGGGGAAUCUACCCUCCUCUUCUGUCCAAGACGUUGCAAGGGACUCUUCUGUUUGGGACUUAUGAUAGCCUGCUGUGCUUUCUCUCUCCUGUUGGGCCACACACCCUGGGACACCGCUGGGCUGCAGGGCUCAUGUCUGGCGUGGUGGAGGCUGUGGCACUCAGCCCCUUUGAAAGGGUGCAAAAUGUGCUCCAGGAUGGUCGCAAGCAAGCUCGCUUCCCCAGCACCUUCAGUAUUCUCAAGGAAUUCAACUCUUAUGGGCUUUGGGGGCGGCUGUCACUGGGCUACUAUCGUGGUUUCUGGCCUGUCCUGGCCAGGAACAGCCUGGGGAGUGCUCUAUAUUUUUCUUUCAAGGACCCCAUCCAGGAUGGCCUGGCAGAGCAAGGCCUGCCCCACUGGGUUCCUGCCUUGGUGUCUGGUAGUGUCAAUGGAACAAUCACCUGCCUAGUUCUGUAUCCUCUGAUUGUGCUGGUUGCUAAUAUGCAGUCCCAUAUUGGAUGGCAGAACAUGCCAAGCCUGUGGGCCUCUGCCCAGGAUGUGUGGAACACUCGGGGCCAAAAGCUGCUCCUGAUCUACCGUGGAGGCUCCCUGGUCAUCCUAAGGUCCAGUGUGACAUGGGGCCUCACUACGGCAAUCCAUGACUUCCUGCAGAGGAAGUCACACUCCAGGAAAGAGCUGAAGACUGACUAGCUGCAGAAAGUGUGGCAUGGCAGCUUUGUUAUUCUAAAUCUUCCCUGGUUGGUUCUAUAUAGCUUACUUCUUUGGCUAGGUUGCCUAAUACAGCCAUCCUUUAGCAUCUGUAAACUCAUCGCGUGGGAGAAGUUCCCAACUACCAACCUGUUGAGCAAGGACAAAGCCCAACAGGAUUCCUUAGUCAAAAAGAAACGUUCGCCCCAGUCUCUCCACAGCUUCAGUAGCCUCAGAGCCAGGAAGCCUUUAAAUAACGUGUAAUCCAGAUUAAGUGUCAUUCCUUUAAGGAAUUCCUUGGCAAUAAGUGGAAACUUAAAAAGAUGACCUUACUUAGGCACUUUGAGCUCUGAGACCCCUCUAGGUGUCCUCCAGUCCAAACUGAGUGGAACUCCAGUUUCAAAGAACAAUGCUUGACUCUUAGGAUGGGAAUUCCAUAAAACUUCUCAGAUGGCUACAUUUUCAUGAUAUUGUUCACUGCCUCUACCAGCACCUCUCACUUCUCAAGGCUUUGGGUCCUACUUUCAGGGCAGCAGCUGUGGCUGGAAAUCCUAAAUUAGGCUUGCGUGAACUCGUCAGGUGCCACAAGAACUAGUGGGGCUGGAGAUGGGAGUGAGAAGAGGCAUGGCCCAUGGAUGGAAAGAAUAAAAACUUUGAAAGAAAAGAUUUAAUUACAUGCAAAAUAGAAACAUUUGCUAUAGUCUGCUUGGUGUUAUCUGCUAGGACAUUUCUGAGAGCAAGGUGAUAACAUUGCCUAGAAACCAUUUGAGUUUCCCUAAGAGACCUGGAAGUGAAGUGACCAUAUCUCUUCACAGAUAAUUGCAUAUUUUGUUGAUGUGGUUAAUGUAGUUACUAUGACUUAAAGAUCAGAAAUCUUAGCCUGUCAUUCAGAGCCAUUCAAAAUAUGGUUGUCAUUAUAACUUUCAACAUAUUGUCACUCCACUUACAUAAACCCCAAACACUAGCCAUAAUCAACUAUUGUUCUCUCCCCAGACAUUCCAUGAACUUUCCCAUGGCCAUACUUUGGCCCACACUAUUCUUUCCACCUGCAGUGCUCCUUCUUCACAUGCCAGUCUACCAAAAUCCUUCCAGUUCCUCGAAGCCCAGCUCAGAGGUCACCUUCUCUAUGGAGCUCUUGAUUUUCCCCAACUGAAUGUGACAUUAGUCUCUGUGAUGCCCCUUUCUUUCUUUUCUUUCUUUCUUUUUUUUUUUUGAGACAGAGUUUCGCUCUUGUUGCCCAGGCUGGAGUGCCAAUGGCGUGAUCUCGGCUCACUGCAACCUCCACCUCCCGAAUUCAAGUGAUUCUCCUGCCUCAGCCUCCCGAGUAGCUGGAAUUACAGGCGCCCACCACCAUGCCCGGCUAAUUUUGUAUUUUUAGUAGAGAUGGGGCCUCUCCAUGUUGGUCAGGCUGGUCUCAAACUCCCAACCUCAUCAGGUGAUCCACCCACCUCGGCCUCCCAAAGUACUGGGAUUAUACGCAUGAGCCACCAUGCCCAGCCUCUGUGAUGCCCCUUUCUAACAGCACUUCAUACAGGAUUUAGCAGUGAGAACUUCUCACUGAAUGCCACAGAAAUUAAGGAUACGGUUGUUGGAGGUAUGAUGUCAGAGAGCAUUUGCCACCAAGGUUGGCAGAAAAUGGCUGGUCCAGGAGAGCUGAAGAUGAGCUUCUACAUCUGCAGAUCGGGAUAUGUUGGGACAGUACUCAACUUGUGGAUUCAAGAAAGUAUGAACACAGAGUCUGCAUAAGGAAAGGAAAAAGAUGCAUUUAUCUUCCAAGUACACUGGUGAUUUCCACUUAUGUCAUUCUGUCCAUCCAUGUCCCUUUCUUCAUUUUAACUUCUUAUUUAAAAAUAAUUUCAAACGUUUAAAAAUGUUGCAAGCAUAAAGAAAGCUUAAAGAACACCCAUGUCCCCUUUACCCUAACUCCCCUAUUAUUAAUGUUUCUCCCCAUUUGCUUUAUUAUUUAAGUGUGCACUCUGUCUAUACACACACAGGAUAUUUUUUCCCUGAACUAUCCGAGAGUUGCAUACAUCAAUUUUCAAUAUUCCUAGAUUCAAUGUUUGUAGAUCCAAAUUAUUUUUUAAAAGACUGUGUUUUAUCUCUGACAAUGGCACAGUUAUUACAGAAUAUAAUAAAAUGAAAACUCACACGAUAUAUGUGAUAUUGUGAAAUAUAUGCUUGGUCUUUGAUCCUGUUUCUUGGCAUACAACUCCUAAAAUCCUUAGAAUUUCCAAAGUGAUAUCUUUUUGUAUGCUAAUAAUUGACUGAUGGCUGGCAGCCCCUGGUUGCUUCAGGAUGGGAACUGGUCACCAGGAAGACCAAGGCACCAUUAGAGGGUUGGGACUUAACAGCCUCAUUCCCGACCUCCAGGGAGGGGAGAAGGGUGGAAGGUUAAGUUGAUCGCCAGUGGCGAAUGAUUUAAUCAAUCAUGCCUACGCAAUGAAGCUUCCAUAAAAACCCCAAAGCACUGGGUUUGGAGAGCUUCCAGAUAGCUGAACAUGUGGAGGUUCCCGGAGGGUGGUGCCCCAGGGAGGGCACGGAAGCUCUGAGCCCCUUCCGCAGUACCUUACCCUAUGCAUCUCUUCAUCUGUAUACUUUGAUAUAUCCUUUAUAAUAAAGUGGUCAACGUUAAGUAUUUCCCCAAGUUCUGUGACCCUUUCUGGCAAAUUAAACCCAAAGAAGGGGUCAUGUGAACUCAAACUUGAAGCCCAUCUGUCAGAAGUUCUGGAGGCUUGGAUUUGCAACUGGUGUCUGAAGGGCCUGGGAAGAGUCUUGUGAAACCUAGCCCUCCUCUUGUGGGAUAUGACGCUAUCUCCAGGUAGAUUGUGUCAGAAUGGAAUUGGAGUACACCCAUCUGGUGUUCGCUGCAGAACUGAUUGCUCACUUAGUGUGUGGGAAAACUCCACACAUCUGGACAUGGAAAUAUUCUGUGUUGAUUGCCGUGGUGUAAGAGCAAAGGAAAAAGUUUGGGUAUUUUCCCCUCAGAGUAUAUUUUAAAGCUAAAUUGCUAAUAAUUGCUUAAAUUUACUAUAUUUGCCUUUAUAAAAACUUUACAUUAUGUAUGUUGAAGCUUGAAGCUAUGCAAUUAUAAUAUAAACAUGGACUUACAACUGAAGCAUGUUAUAAUUUAAAUAAUUGAGUUUUUCAAAUCAGUUCAUAUGAAAUCCUAGGCAAUACUGUAAAAUUAUACAGACCUGUCAACUUUUUCCACUUAAAAGUUGUGAGCAAAAUUUAAGGGCAUAGUCAUUUUCAAGUAAUUUUAAAUGUCAAUGUUAAUAUUUAGUUUAGUGAUGUUAAUGGAGCUAUGUUUUCUGAUAUUAAAAAUGACUUUUAGGAGUUGAGACCAAUAAAAUAAGGAGGUAAUAAAUAUCUAUAUCUGUUUAAACACAUAAAAUAUACAAUUUAACACUAAAAUUACUUGGUAUAAAAAGUCAAAAAGAAUAAAAAGCCAUCAUACAACACAAUAUAUGCAUGAUAUAUAUUUUUAUCUAAAUAUAAACUACAUCAGCUUUUAUAAAGCUCAAGUUGAAAUAAUAACGUUUUAUGACAAAUCAUUAUAUGGUAUAUUUUGACUUAAUUUUGCUUUUACAAUUUAUUUUUAAACACUAAAUAGCAUUAUAAUUUUACUGGAAUAACUACAUAUAGUGUAGUAUAUUAAAGUUAAUAAAAUAACGUUGCAUAUGAGAGAAAAAGCAUAAUCAGAAACAAUAUAAAAAGCUUUCAGAAAAGAUAAAAAUACUGUAUUUCUCUAGUCUGUUCACUCUCCAGUGUCUCUGGUUAUUUCAUAUCAUCUUCCUUUCCUCAAAUCUUUUAAUACUCCCUCCCUUAUCAUUUCCAACUAGUGACCCUACUUUCUAUUUCAUUAAGAAAACAGAUACAUUCAGAAGAGAACUGCCAGUUUAAAGAAUAUUUACAAAGCCAUCACCCAUGUAAUAACCAGCCAGAGCAAGAAAUAGAGCCCUUUAAUAACCUACUCUUCUCCCCCCACCACUGAUGACAUCCCUCCCUCCAUCUUAGGUGUAGCCCCCAUGCUGACUUUUGUAAUAAUAAUUUAUUUGCUUUUGUUUAUAAGUUUUCUUCCUUAUAAGCAUCCCUAAACAACAGUUUUGUUUUACAGAUGUUCAAACAUUAAAUGCUUUUUAAACUUGGAAUUGUGACUAUCUUGUUUCACUCCACAUUGCUUGUGAGACUCAUUGAUAUUGCAGAUAGCUGUAGUUGAUCCAUUUUUAUUGUUGUACAGUUUACCAUUGUAUAAAUAUACCAUGAUUUAUUCAUGUUAACUUUGAGAAACAUUCUGGUUGUUUGCAGGUUUUAUUUUUACAGUUCAUUAGUUUUAUUGAUGUAUAAUAAUUGUAUAUGUUUAUGGGGUAUAUGUGAUAUUUUGAUACAUGUGUACAAUGUGUAAUGAUCAAAUCAAGGUAAUUGGGAUAUCCAUCAGCUCAAACAUUUAUCAUUUCU